ensembl:lncRNA
GGGGGACGUGAGUUCAGCCUGUGGUAGCUGGAGGGGAUGGGAGGUAGCCUGCAGCAGUUGGUGGCCAUCUUGCUCCCAUAAACUCAGAGACCCCUGCAGGAGAAUGACAGCAGUAGGCAGACCUGAGAAGCUGGGGGGAGAGAAUUUCUGCUGAGGUCCUUGAGAUCCAGGACAGAAGAGUGGGAUAGGGAGACACACCCAGGAGAGGCAGUCCAGUCUCUGCGGUUUCAGCCUCCUCCGCUCUAUUUUCUUAUCUGCAACAUUCUUUCCUCAUCUCUUUCUCUUUCUUCAUUCGGGGAUGUCGUCCAUCCUGAGGAUAUCCCUGGACUCUGCUGAGGCUGGACCUCGGCACCUUCACACUGUUCACUUCCUGGAAGAGUCCUGGAGGCUGGAGGAGGGCUGAUGACUCUUCCUAAUGACCUUUAUGGCCAACUCUGUCCCAGUCAGAAUAUACCGGGCCCACUUUGGCAAACCAACCUUUACCAAUCAUGUAAAGAAUCGCAGUUCUCAAUAGAAGCCUUGUCCCCUGAAACGGCUGUGAGGCCCAGCAUCAUGAUGAUCUGCUGACUACACUGACUGCCAGCACUAACUAGCAAUGCUAACUGUGCUAACUGCGCUAACUAUACUCCUGCAGCAGGGAGUCCUCCAGGUUGGAGUGAAUGGCUCUGGAUAACAGCUCAAAAUGUUAAGAAGAAAUAAAGAUUUCCAGUAAAAGUAGAUAGACAAGCAAUUAGAAAAGCUACUAUUGUAACUGUGGUUUGUAGCUCCACUAUUUUAUUUUCUCUGAUAGAUGAGAUUAAUAAAAAGAAUUAAGCACCAUUUUUAGUGUGGUUAUGAAUUACUACUGUUGUUCAGUCACUAAACCAUGUCCAGUUCUCUGUGACCUCAUGGACUGUGCACACCAGGCUUCUCUUGCCCUCCAUUCUUCCCUGAAUUUGCUCAAAUUCAUGUCCAUUGAGUCAGUGAUCCCAUCUAACUAUGUCAUACUCUGAUGCCACCUUCUCUGAUGAUUUCAAUCUUCCAGUAUUGAGGUCUUUUCUAGUAAAUCAGCUCUUUGCAUCAGGUGGUCAAAGAAUUGGAGCUUCCGUUUCAGCAUCAGUCCUUCUAAUGAGUCAGGGUUGAUAUACUUUAGGAUGGACUGGUUUGAUCUCCCAGCAGUCCAAGGGACUCUCAAGAGUCUUCUCCAACAAUACAAAUGGAAAGCAUCAAUUCUUCACUCAGCCUUCUUUAUGGUCCAACCCUCACAUCUAUACAUGACUACUGGAAAAACCAUAGCUUGACUAUAGGGACCUGUGUCCACAAAGUGACAUCUCUGCUUUCUAAUACAUUGUCUAGGUUUGUCAUCACUUCCCUUCCAAGGAGCAAGUGUUGUUUUUGUUGUUUUUUUUUUUUUAAUUUCAUGCUGCAGUCACAAUCCACAGUGAUUUUGGAGCCCC